rnacentral:sRNA from 1 species
GUAGCAUACGACAAUAAUGGAAAAGUGAUUGGAUUUGGAAAUGUGAUCAUCUAUCCAUCUGGUGAAUGUGUAUUGACUCCACUAUAUGCUGAUGAUAGUAAAGUGGCUCAGGCAAUAUUCAAAAGCAUUUUAAAAGAAAUUCCACUCAAUGACAAGAAGCUUUUGAGAUUCCAAAUAAGAUCAAUCGAUCGAUGUGAAAAUGCAUUUGAGUAUGAAUCAGUUUUAAACACUUGAUUUAAAAUUGAUUUUCAGAUGGAUUCAACCCUUCGUUAAAAAUCCAAUAAGAAAAGAAAUCAUGGGAUAUAUGGCUGGUUCUUCUCAUCCUCCAACCGUCAAUUACAAGAAAACUUAUGCAAAUACGCCGUACACCACCUGCGCCAUCUGAAUCAGCACGAGUAAUUGAUGCAUCUUUAAGGAAGUUGAUAAAACGAUUUAAUAUAUAAAUUUAUUAAAUGUUCAAAGUGUCAUUUUGUGUCAACCAGAACCUGGGUGAAAAGGCGGAGGCUAAAGUUGGUUCAAAGUGGCGCUGAAUGGCCGAGCAUGUAAAAGUGUCAUAUUUGGUAAGACAAAGGGUACGUCACAUCUUCCGAUUUUUUACCUCUCAUAAUUGAUAAACACAUCCAGUCAUUGAGAAUCGAUUGUACGACCUUAUAAUACUCAGUUUCGGUUUAGAAAAGUAAAAUUGUCAGCGUGACCUAUCCCAAUUUCAAAGAACGCACGUGUUCGACUAACCUUUGCAAGUUCUAACUAUUUAAAUUUAUUUUGUAAUCAAUUCAAAAAACUAGACCUGCAAAAAUCUACUUGAAUGCUCUCCAAAUCUCUUGCCCUCGGCCGUAGGCUCACGAAGAUUUCUUCAUCAGUGAAGUCAAUCAGUUCCAUCACAUUCAAGACUGUUGAUGGAAAACCAAGAGAUGCACUGACAAUUCAUAAUGUAGAUUUCGUAAUUGAUCCUGAUGAGAAGAUGGUUGAUGAGUACAUGAAAGUGGUAAGACAUUUUCAAGUUGCACAAGUGCAGUUAAAUAUAAUGUUUCAGUACGGAAAUCAGCGGUUUAACUUCAAGAGGAAUGAUAUUGAUAUUUGGAGAAAAUCUUUCAAAGAUAGUUACUCUCUGUGGCUUGUAUGUCUGAAAGGAACUAACAAGAUAGUCCAAAUGUCACAUGUAUUGAAUUUCCCACCAUUGCUUUCUCACAAUGAUAUUCUCCAUCAGUAUCAUGGAUUUUUCUGGGUUGAUCCUGAUUAUCGUGGAAAGGAUAGUAUGGCAAUCAUGGAUUACAUCGAAAAGCACAGAGCUCGGAAUCAAUCGGAUAAUGAUGCUGGAACGUUUUUGACUACAGCUGUGACUAUGUGGACGAAAAUGCAUGGGCAUGCUGAUUACAAACAUAUAAUGUAUGUCUCGUAUUACAAGCCAGAUGAGAUGCAGAUUCCUGAAGACUUGAAUCUUGAUGGAAUAUUCCUUAAAAAUGCAACGGAAGUACCAGAUAUGGAUAUUGUGAAAUAUGAUAACACUGUGUUUCCAUAUGAAAGAUCCAAGUACAUGUUAAAUCUUCUUAGAGAUCCUGAAGGUUUUGGAAAGGUUUGUUUCAAAAGUUGAGUUUUAUCAAUUGAACAUCUUUAGGUAGCAUACGACAAUAAUGGAAAAGUGAUUGGAUUUGGAAAUGUGAUCAUCUAUCCAUCUGGUGAAUGUGUAUUGACUCCACUAUAUGCUGAUGAUAGUAAAGUGGCUCAGGCAAUAUUCAAAAGCAUUUUAAAAGAAAUUCCACUCAAUGACAAGAAGCUUUUGAGAUUCCAAAUAAGAUCAAUCGAUCAAUGUGAAGGAGGAUUUGAGUUAGUUUUUGUUUUAUGAUAUCUCAAUUUUCAUUUUAUUUUUAGAUGGAUUCAACCCUUUGUUAAAAACCCAAUAAGAAAGGAAAUCAUGGGAUACAUGGCUGGUUCUUCUCAUCCUCCAACCGUCAAUUACAAGAAAACUUAUGCGAACACGCCGUACACGACCUGCGUAAUUUGAGCGGAAAACGAUUGAUCUGGAGAUAUUGUAUGAGUCCGAUAAAACGAUUUGAACAAAACCCAUUAAGAAUUUAUUUUUGAUUUUUGUGGAGAUCAGACAAAGUCCAGGAAACGCAUUAAAUAAGCUUUGUGCUCUUUAGAAAAUUGAUCCUAUCAAAGACGGACUGAGUCAAAAUUUAUCAGUGAAACAAAGAUUUCGGAAACGUACACGAGGAGAGUCAUCAUUCACGUGUUGGGUAGAAAACCAAAUUGAGAUGUGAAUCCUGUGUAGGUGCAUGAUUAAAGACAACAGACAAGGCCUGAUCGCUAUAGAAACUUUUUGAAAAGAUGGUCUCAUCCAAACUUGUUUAUUUUAAGCAAAAACCAGGAAGCAAUCAAAAUGAACGUUUUAGAUGGCAAUUAUGUAGGUCAAAAAGAAUCACAAAAAAAGUAAACGGGUAUUAAAUAAUUGCGUGUUCGAAAAAUUGAUCUAAAUAUAUAAUACAAACCAUAGUCUCAAUUGAUUAAUUUUUAAAACUGUUUCUAACGUGACAUGUAGAACCUUCGGAGACCUUACGUGUUCGACUAACCUUUAACAGUUCCAAUUUCUGUUCAAUUAAAAAAACUAGAUUUGCAAAAAUCUACUUAAAUGCUCUCUAAAUCCCUAGCCAUUGGCCGUAAGCUCACGAAGAUUUCUUCAUCAGUGAAGUCAAUCAGUUCCAUCACAUUCAAGACUGUUGAUGGAAAACCAAGAGAUGCACUGACAAUUCAUAAUGUAGAUUUUGUAAUUGAUCCUGAUGAGAAGAUGGUUGAUGAGUACAUGAAAGUGGUAAGACAUUUUCAAGUUGCACAAGUGCAGUUAAAUAUAAUGUUUCAGUACGGAAAUCAGCGGUUGAACUUCAAGAGGAAUGAUAUUGAUAUUUGGAGAAAAUCUUUCAAAGAUAGUUACUCUCUGUGGCUUGUAUGUCUGAAAGGAACUAACAAGAUAGUCCAAAUGUCACAUGUAUUGAAUUUCCCACCAUUGCCUUCUCACAAUGAUAUUCUCCAUCAGUAUCAUGGAUUUUUCUGGAUUGAUCCCGAUUAUCGUGGAAAGGAUAGUAUGGAAAUUAUGGACUACAUAGAAAAACUCAGAGCUCGAAAUCAAUCGGAUAAUAAUGUCGGCACGUAUUUGCCACCAGCGGCUAACAUGAUCAAAAAAAUAUAUGGAACUAAUAAUUACCAGCAUAUCAUGUACGUUUCCUAUUACAAGCCAGAUGAGAUGCAGAUUCCUGAAGACUUGAAUCUUGAUGGAAUAUUCCUUAAAAAUGCAACGGAGGUACCAGAUAUGGAUAUUGUGAAAUAUGAUAACACUGUGUUUCCAUAUGAAAGAUCCAAGUACAUGUUAAAUCUUCUUAGAGAUCCUGAAGGUUUUGGAAAGGUUUGUUUCAAAAGUUGAGUUUUAUCAAUUGAACAUCUUUAGGUAGCAUACGACAAUAAUGGAAAAGUGAUUGGAUUUGGAAAUGUGAUCAUCUAUCCAUCUGGUGAAUGUGUAUUGACUCCACUAUAUGCUGAUGAUAGUAAAGUGGCUCAGGCGAUAUUCAAAAGCAUUUUAAAAGAAAUUCCACUCAAUGGCAAGAAGGAACAUAGAUUCCAAAUUAGAUCAAUCGAUCAAUGUGACGGGGGAUUUGAGUAUAAAUCAGUAUUAUGACAUCUCAAUUAGAAUUGCUUUUUAGAUGGAUCCAGCCCUUUGUCAGAAGACCGAUAAGAAAGGAAAUCAUGGGAUACAUGUGUGGCAUUCCUCAUCAUCCGACCGUCAACUACAAGAAAACUUAUUCAAAUACACCAUAUACCACCUGCGCAAUUUGAUACAAGUGAUAAAACUAUUUUUUAAUUCUUUACAAUUUUUGUUGCCUUUUUUGCUGAGAGCAGACAUAGUUUCUCCAAGAAACACACUGAAGAAAGUGAGCAGAAGUGAAUUGUAUCUUUAAAGACUGGGAUUUUUGUCUAUGUUCUUCAGAAAAUUAAUCCCAUGUAAGAUUGGCAGAUAUCCGAGACAAGAUAGAAGUGAUACGUGGACUCAGGGUUCGUGCACGAGAAAAGUCAGUAUUCAUCCGAUAUGAAAACCGAAAUGAACUGGAUCCUGCACGACAAAACCAAGAAAGACUGAACAGAAAAUGUGUGCAGAAACGUGUUCCAAAGAUGGUCUUACUCGAACAUGCAUAUUUGAAUCGAAAACUAGGAAGCAAUCAAAAUGAACAAGUGCAACUAGAUCAAAAAUAAUCACUGAAAAAUUGAACGGAUAACAGAGAAUUGCUUGAUCCAAAAACGUUUUUUGAACGAUACAAUACCAACAAAUCAUAUGCAGCCAGUUCCAAGUGAUUAGUGUUUAGAAUGUUUAUAAGAUUUUGAGAUUUUAGAAUAGUUUCCCACGUGUAGAACCUUCGAAGACCUUGCGUGUUCGGUUAACCUUUUUUAUUUUACUUUUAUGUUUUCGAUUUUUCCGAUUAAUUCAUAAAACUAGACUUGCCCAAUUCGACUUGAAUGCUCUUCAAAUCUCUUGGCCGCCAUCUCACGAAAGUUUCUUCGAAUAGUGCCAGUUCACUCAGGACAAUCAAGUACAAAACUGUGGAUGGAAAACCAAGAGAUACACUUACACUUCAAAAUGUUGAUUUUAUAAUCAAUCCUGAUGAGAAAAUGAUUGAUGAGUAUAUGAAAGUGGUAAGUCAUUUUCAGGAGUUGCGAGAAGUCUGGCAUAAAGACUACAUUGAGAAGUUGAAAAUGUUCAUUUGUUUUAAUUUAAUCAUAUAUGAGCUCAGAUGCAUUUCAGUACGGAAAUCAACGUUUGAACUUCAAAAGAAACGACAUUUCAAUGUGGAUGAAGUCAUUUGAAGGCCGUUAUGCUCUGUGGUUUACUUGCCCAAAGGGAACUAACAAAAUAAUUCAAACAUCCCACGUCAUCACCUUCCCACCGAUACCAUCAAACAAUGACACAAAUCAUCAAUAUCGUGGAAUGUUUUGGAUUGAUGCAGAUUAUCGUGGAGUUGAUAGCAUGAUAUUGACUGAUUAUAUUGAGAAGCUCAGAAUUCGUAAUCAAUCAGAUAAUGCUGUUGCUCAAUGCAUGCCUACUUCGAUGAACUUAUGGAAGAAAAUGCAUGGACAAAAUGAUGCUGGACAUAUUCAGAAUGUUUCAUAUUACAAGCCAGAUGAGAUGCAGGUUCCUGACGACUUGAAUCUUGAUGGAAUAUUCCUUAAAAAUGCAACGGAGGCACCAAAUAUGUAUAUUGUGAAACUGUUAAAUCUUCUUAGAGAUCCUGAAGGUUUUGGAAAGG